AUGUAUGCAGCCGUCUUGUGCUCCUUCACUCAAGGUCGCCAUGAUCCAUCCACACAUAUCCGGUCCACGAGCGCCAGCCGCCUCCGGCCGGGCCCGCCCGCAGCGUCACGGUGCACCGUGGACCGCGCCUUCGUGCGGAGCCGGGGCCCUCCCCCCAAUCUCCUCCACCAACCUCUCUCCUGUAUAAAGCCUCGCGGCCCCCGCCUGCCUCCUCCCACCAGUUCCAGGACAACCAGCAGCGGCCGCCACUUCGUCCAGCUCCAGCUCCGGGAGGAUCACUUCGCUGUCGAAUCGCUCGUCGACGGCGGGAUGGGGGAGGCGUCAUCUCCGGCGAUCGCCAAGGAUGUCACCGAGCUGAUCGGGAACACGCCGUUGGUGUACCUCAACAAGGUGACCGACGGGUGCGUGGGGCGCGUCGCCGCCAAGCUCGAGUCCAUGGAGCCCUGCUCCAGCGUCAAGGACAGGAUUGGAUACAGCAUGAUCACCGACGCGGAGGAGAAGGGGUUCAUCGUCCCGGGCAAGAGUGUGCUGAUUGAGCCAACCAGUGGCAACACAGGCAUUGGGCUGGCCUUCAUGGCUGCUGCGAAGGGUUACAGACUUGUACUCACAAUGCCCGCCUCCAUGAGUAUGGAGAGGAGAAUCAUCUUGAAGGCUUUUGGUGCUGAGCUGAUCCUCACCGACCCACUCUUGGGAAUGAAAGGAGCUGUCCAAAAGGCAGAAGAGCUGGCAGCAAAGACACCCAACUCAUACAUCCUUCAGCAGUUUGAGAAUGCUGCCAACCCAAAGAUUCAUUAUGAGACAACUGGGCCUGAAAUCUGGAAAGGCACAGGAGGAAAGAUCGAUGGCCUUGUUUCUGGCAUCGGGACAGGUGGUACCAUUACUGGAACUGGAAAAUACCUCCAAGAGCAAAAUCCUAACAUCAAGCUCUACGGUGUGGAGCCUACCGAGAGUGCUAUCUUAAAUGGUGGAAAGCCUGGACCACACAAGAUCCAAGGAAUUGGAGCUGGUUUUAUCCCUGGUGUCUUGGAUGUUGACAUCAUUGAUGAAACCAUACAGGUUUCAAGUGAUGAGUCCAUUGAGAUGGCAAAGUCUCUGGCAUUGAAAGAAGGAUUGCUGGUUGGAAUCUCUUCUGGUGCUGCUGCAGCAGCUGCAAUCAAGGUUGCUCAGAGGCCUGAAAAUGCAGGGAAACUCUUUGUUGUUGUAUUCCCAAGCUUCGGAGAGCGCUACCUUUCGUCGGUGCUCUUCCACUCCAUCAAGAAGGAGGCCGAGAGCAUGGUGGUCGAGUGA
rnacentral:rRNA from 1 species